UACGAAGGGGGCUAGCGUUGCUCGGAAUGACUGGGCGUAAAGGGCGCGUAGGCGGAGUGCUUUGUCAGGCGUGAAAUUCCAGGGCUUAACCUUGGGGCUGCGUUUGAGACGGGCAUUCUUGAGUAUGGAAGAGGGUCGUGGAAUUCCCAGUGUAGAGGUGAAAUUCGUAGAUAUUGGGAAGAACACCGGUGGCGAAGGCGGCGACCUGGUCCGAUACUGACGCUGAGGCGCGAAAGCGUGGGGAGCAAACAGG
rnacentral:rRNA from 1 species